GACGAACGCUGGCGGCGUGCUUAACACAUGCAAGUCGAACGGAAAGGCCCUGCUUUUGUGGGGUGCUCGAGUGGCGAACGGGUGAGUAACACGUGAGUAACCUGCCCUUGACUUUGGGAUAACUUCAGGAAACUGGGGCUAAUACCGGAUAGGAGCUCCUGCUGCAUGGUGGGGGUUGGAAAGUUUCGGCGGUUGGGGAUGGACUCGCGGCUUAUCAGCUUGUUGGUGGGGUAGUGGCUUACCAAGGCUUUGACGGGUAGCCGGCCUGAGAGGGUGACCGGCCACAUUGGGACUGAGAUACGGCCCAGCCUCCUACGGGAGGCAGCGGUGGGGAAUAUUGCCCAAUGGGCGGAAGCCUGAUGCAGCAACGCCGCGUGCGGGAUGCCGGCCUUCGGGUUGUAAACCGCUUUCGCCUGUGACGAAGCGUGAGUGACGGUAAUGGGUAAAGAAGCACCGGCUAACUACGUG
rnacentral:rRNA from 1 species